rnacentral:rRNA from 1 species
GGACCCGCACAAGUAGUGGAGCAUGUGGUUUAAUUCGAAGAUACGCGCAGAACCUUACCAACACUUGACAUGUUCGUCGCGACUCUAAGAGAUUAGAGUUUUCGGUUCGGCCGGACGAAACACAGGUGCUGCAUGGCUGUCGUCAGCUCGUGUCGUGAGAUGUUGGGUUAAGUCCCGCAACGAGCGCAACCCUCACUUUUAGUUGCCAUCAUUAGGUUGGGCACUCUGAAAGAACUGCCAGUGAUAAAGCUGGAGGAAGGUGGGGAUGACGUCAAGUCCUCAUGGCCCUUACGUGUUGGGCUACACACGUGCUACAAUGGUAUCUACAACAGGAAGCAAGACUGCGAAGUUUAGCAAAUCCUUAAAAGAUACCUCAGUUCGGAUUGCACUCUGCAACUCGAGUGCAUGAAGCUGGAAUUACUAGUAA